rnacentral:rRNA from 1 species
UAGGGAAUCUUCCACAAUGGGCGAAAGCCUGAUGGAGCAACGCCGCGUGUGUGAUGAAGGGUUUCGGCUCGUAAAACACUGUUGUAAGAGAAGAAUGACAUUGAGAGUAACUGUUCAAUGCGUGACGGUAUCUUACCAGAAAGGAACGGCUAAAUACGUGCCGG